rnacentral:lncRNA from 1 species
AAGAUCCUGAACCUAGAGAUACAAAUUUUCAAACAACGUUAAGCUCUCGUCGUCUAAAAAGCAAGGUUCCAUCAUCUCACCAGAGGUCUGUUGUAGAAAGCAGUGCAGGUAAAUCAGUUGCUAAAGUUCUGCUGCCUCAGCCUCUCAAACCUGCAUUGAACGCACAUUCCAGUACUUCUGAUAAGAAAAGCAGAGGCCUGUUAACAAGUACUCCAUCUUCGCAAACACCUGGUUUAGUGGUAAGUGUUAUUAUUAUCAUUUAGCACUUGUAGUAUCUGUUUUCUGGCUCUCUGUUCUCUUUUUCUAUUUCUCCUAGACUAGGGGAAUAUUGCACAUAGUAAUGUCUGUAUUUUCUGUUGCAUAAACAUAUUUUCACUGGAAG